rnacentral:rRNA from 1 species
UACGGGGGGGGCAAGCGUUGUUCGGAAUUACUGGGCGUAAAGGGCUCGUAGGCGGCCAACUAAGUCAGACGUGAAAUCCCUCGGCUUAACCGGGGAACUGCGUCUGAUACUGGAUGGCUUGAGUGUGGGAGAGGGAUGCGGAAUUCCAGGUGUAGAGGUGAAAUUCGUAGAUAUUGGGAAGAACACCGGUGGCGAAGGCGGCGCUCUGGACCGAGACUGACGCUGAGGCGCGAAAGCGUGGGUAGCAAACAGG